rnacentral:tRNA from 2 species
GGGGGUAUACCUCAGGGGUAGAGCAUUUGACUGCAGAUCAAGAGGUCCCUGGUUCAAAUCUGGGUGCCCCCU